GGGCUCAACCUGGGGAACUGGCAUCCAAAACUGGGCGAGCUAAAGUACGGUAGAGGGUGGUGGAAUUUCCUGUGUAGCGGUGAAUGCGUAGAUAUAGGAAGGAACAGCAGGGGCGAAGGGCGACCACCUGGACUGAUACUGACACUGAAGUGCGAAAGCGUGGGAAGCGAACAAGAUUAAAUACCCUAGUAGUCCGCGCCGUAAAAGAUGUCAACUAGCCGUUGAAAUCCUUGAGAUUUUAAGGGCGCACGGACGCGUUAGGUUGA
rnacentral:rRNA from 1 species